GUGGCAGUUUCUGACCAGGAUGUGUCUGUGUUUGCAGGUGUCCAGUGUGAGGUGCAGCUGGUGGAGUCUGGGGGAGGCUUGGUCCAGCCUGGGGGAUCCCUGAGACUCUCCUGUGCAGCCUCUGGAUUCACCUUCAGCAGCUACUGGAUGCAUUGGGUCCGCCAGGCUCCAGGGAAGGGGCUGGAGUGGGUGGGAGACAUCAAUGGUAAUGAUGGUAGCACAUACUACGCAGACGCCGUGAAGGGCCGAUUCACCAUCUCCAGAGACAACGGCAAGAACACGCUGUCUCUGCAAAUGAACAGUCUGAGAGCCGAGGACACGGCCCUGUACUACUGUGCCAGAGACACAGUGAUCUUAGGUGAUGAUCAGUGA